rnacentral:pre_miRNA from 1 species
UGUGUGUGUGUAUAAGUAUAUGUUUAUUUGUACAUGUGUACAUGUAUAUAUACAUAUGUACAAGCACACAUAUAUUUAUACACACACACA